GACGAACGCUGGCGGCGUGCCUAAUACAUGCAAGUAGAACGCACAGUUUAUACCGUAGCUUGCUACACCAUAGACUGUGAGUUGCGAACGGGUGAGUAACGCGUAGGUAACCUGCCUGGUAGCGGGGGAUAACUAUUGGAAACGAUAGCUAAUACCGCAUAAUAUUAAUUAUUGCAUGAUAAUUAAUUGAAAGGUGCAAUUGCACCACUACCAGAUGGACCUGCGUUGUAUUAGCUAGUAGGUGAGGUAACGGCUCACCUAGGCGACGAUACAUAGCCGACCUGAGAGGGUGAUCGGCCACACUGGGACUGAGACACGGCCCAGACUCCUACGGGAGGCAGCAGUAGGGAAUCUUCGGCAAUGGACGAAAGUCUGACCGAGCAACGCCGCGUGAGUGAAGAAGGUUUUCGGAUCGUAAAGCUCUGUUGUAAGAGAAGAACGGGUGUGAGAGUGGAGAGUUCACACUGUGACGGUAUCUUACCAGAAAGGGACGGCUAACUACGUG
rnacentral:rRNA from 1 species